rnacentral:rRNA from 1 species
CCCGCACAAGCGGUGGAGUAUGUGGUUUAAUUCGACGCAACGCGCAGAACCUUUACCUGGUCUUGACAUCCCGAGAAUUUCCUUGAAAGAGGGAAGUGCCUCGCAAGAGGAGCUUUGGAGACAGGUGCUGCAUGGCUGUCGUCAGCUCGUGUCGUGAGAUGUUGGGUUAAGUCCCGCAACGAGCGCAACCCUUGUCUUUAGUUGCCAUCAUUUAGUUGGGCACUCUAAAGAGACUGCCGGUGUCAAACCGGAGGAAGGUGGGGAUGACGUCAAGUCCUCAUGGCCUUUAUGACCAGGGCUACACACGUACUACAAUGGCCGGUACAAAGGGCAGCCACUUAGCGAUAAGGAGCCAAUCCCGUAAAGCCGGUCUCAGUCCGGAUUGGAGUCUGCAACUCGACUCCAUGAAGUUGGAAUCGCUAGUAAUCGCAGAUCAGCACGCUGCGGUGAAUACGUUCCCGGGCCUU